CUACGGGAGGCAGCAGUGGGGAAUCUUCCGCAAUGGGCGCAAGCCUGACGGAGCAACGCCGCGUGAGUGAAGAAGGCCUUCGGGUCGUAAAGCUCUGUCUUUAGGGAAGAAAAACUAUGGUGAAAAUAUUGCCAUAGUCUGACGGUACCUGAGGAGGAAGCUCCGGCUAACUACGUGCCAGCAGCCGCGGUAAUACGUAGGGAGCGAGCGUUGUCCGGAAUUACUGGGCGUAAAGGGCGUGUAGGCGGGAAUGUAAGUAAGGUGUGAAACCUCCGGGCUCAACUUGGAGACUGCACUUUAAACUGGAUUUCUUGAGGGCAGGAGAGGAAAGUGGAAUUCCUAGUGUAGCGGUGAAAUGCGUAGAUAUUAGGAGGAACAUCAGUGGCGAAGGCGACUUUCUGGACUGCACCUGACGCUGAGGCGCGAAGGCGUGGGUAGCAAACAGGAUUAGAUACCCCGGUAGUC
rnacentral:rRNA from 1 species